UGUGUUAUAAAAGAUCCCACGGAGAAAGAGACCUAUGUAGGAAGGCCGAAACAGCGAUGGAUCGAUAAAAGCUAAAAGGAAUUUGAACAGCUCGGAUUUCCGACUUAGGUGAUGUGGCUCAAUAAGAUAAAUCAAAAGAAGACUGUUUCACAGCCACGGGCCUUAAUGGCCUUUAAAAUAUUUGAUAAUUGAGAUAGUUAGCUGACUGUGCGACAGUGGGUAUGCUU